rnacentral:tRNA from 1 species
GCUAGACAUGACUUGGGGGUAGAGCGCUUCGUUCGCAUCGAAGAGGUCGCGGUUUCGACUACCGUCGGCUCCA